CCUACGGUUGGCAGCAGUGAGGAAUAUUGGUCAAUGGCCGAGAGGCUGAACCAGCCAAGUCGCGUGAGGGAAGACGGCCCUACGGGUUGUAAACCUCUUUUGUCGGGGAGCAAAGCGAGUCACGUGUGACAUAUCGAGAGUACCCGAACAAAAAGCAUCGGCUAACUACGUGCUAGCAGCCGCGGUAAUACGGAGGAUACGAGCGUUACCCGGAGUUAUUGGGUUUAAAGGGUGCCAAGGCGGAGGGGCAAGUCAGCGGUUAAAUUACGGGGCUCAACCCCGUACUGCCGUUGAAAGUGCAUCCCUGGAGUGAGAGAGAGGUAUGCGGAAGGCGUGGUGUAGCGGUGAAAUGCAUAGAUAUCACGCAGAACUCCGAUGGCGAAGGCAGCAUACCGGCGCGCAACUGACGCUCAUGCACGAAAGCGUGGGUAUCGAACAGGAUUAGAUACCCCAGUAGUC
rnacentral:rRNA from 1 species